AUGUUGCCGAUGGAGUUAAAUGGUCCUCCAUUUGGUCAACCAACACCUCCAACACAAGUGCCCACACAAGAUGAGUUCGAUGACAUAGACAAGCUCACACUUUUGAGUCUCGAGUUCACUUGGAGUGCCGAGGAUGAUCCCAUUAGGAAGGUGAUACUUGAGGAAAUGAAGAAGAUUAAGAGUGGAAAGGAGCUAGUGGAAGAAGUAAGGAAGAUUGAGAAGAACAUCAAUGCCGGCAGUACUAUCUCUUCCCUCCUUGAGUUGAGUGUGGCCGAGAUUCCCCUUGAUACAUGUGAGGUUCCAACACCGUCACAUCCAGUUGAGCAAGAUAGCAAGAGUCCAGAGGAAGAAAGACCUCAGAUUGAAGAAAUUCUCGAAGCCAAGGCACAAGAUGAUCCAGAGCUCGAACAACAAAGUGAUCAAGUUGAAGACUCAUCAUCUACUACUCCUGAAGAAGUACAAGAAGCUGCUGUAGAUGAAGAUGAAGAACAUGAGAUUCAUUUGCCUAUUGUCAUACCAGAGCGUGAUGUGUCAGGUUUACUCAAUCCUCUUGAUGACAUGAUGCCUUGUGAUUUCUUUGCUACCACCUUGCAUUACAUGAUGCCAUCUGUUAAAGUAGAUUUGAAAAAGUAUUUGUUUGGGUAUGAUCAUAUAUACCCUGUUAGUGGCAUUACUCACAUUAAUGAUGAUCACAUUUACUUUCCUCGUGCUAGACCUAUGUUUAAUGAAACAUAUCAUUCUUAUGCUAGUCUUGAGCUUAAUGAAAAAUAUCAUCCUCAUGUUAGUGUUGACUUUGCUCAUUUCUACCAUUCUAAACAUGUGCUUUAUAGCUAUGCUUAUGUAAUUGGGUACUCUAUUGAUGAUUUAGAGGGCAUCUACCCUAUCACUUGUAGUUGUUGUUUGUGUGAGUCCUAUUUCAGGUUUUUGCUUGUGCACGAAUCAAUACAUGCUGACCAAGUUCGAGAUGACAUCCCAUGGGAUCCUGGUGGACCCAAAGCAUGGCGAUGA
rnacentral:rRNA from 1 species